rnacentral:rRNA from 1 species
UACGUAGGGUGCUAGCGUUGCUCGGAAUCACUGGGCGUAAAGCGCACGUAGGCGGACUCUUAAGUCGGUGGUGAAAUCCUGGAGCUCAACUCCAGAACUGCCUUCGAUACUGAGAGUCUCGAGUCCGAGAGAGGUGAGUGGAACUGCGAGUGUAGAGGUGAAAUUCGUAGAUAUUCGCAAGAACACCAGUGGCGAAGGCGGCUCACUGGCUCGGUACUGACGCUGAGGUGCGAAAGCGUGGGGAGCAAACAGG